rnacentral:snRNA from 1 species
UUAAAUAUGGAAUGCUUCGUGAAUUUGCAUGUCAUCCUUGCACAGGGGCCAUGCUAAUCUUCUCUGUAUCAUUCCAAUUUUAGUAUAUGUGCUGCCAAAGUGAGCAC